GACGAACGCUGGCGGCGUGCUUAACACAUGCAAGUCGAACGGAAAGGCCCUGUUCUUGUGGGGUGCUCGAGUGGCGAACGGGUGAGUAACACGUGAGUAACCUGCCCUUGACUUUGGGAUAACUUCAGGAAACUGGGGCUAAUACCGGAUAGGAGCUCCUGCUGCAUGGUGGGGGUUGGAAAGUUUCGGCGGUUGGGGAUGGACUCGCGGCUUAUCAGCUUGUUGGUGGGGUAGUGGCUUACCAAGGCUUUGACGGGUAGCCGGCCUGAGAGGGUGACCGGCCACAUUGGGACUGAGAUACGGCCCAGACUGCUACGGGAGGCAGCAGUGGGGAAUAUUGCACAAUGGGCGGAAGCCUGAUGCAGCAACGCCGCGUGCAGGAUGACGGCCUUCGGGUUGUAAACCGCUUUCGCCUGUGACGAAGCGUGAGUGACGGUAAUGGGUAAAGAAGCACCGGCUAACUACGUG
rnacentral:rRNA from 1 species